rnacentral:lncRNA from 1 species
GAGGUGCGGCGGGGGAGGUAAUGAUGAUGGUGGCGGAGGAGGAAGGCGGGGGAGGGGGUACUGGGCGCUGAGCGGCGGCUCUGGCAGGGUUUGGUAGGGUGGGAGACGGUCGCAGGGCGAUCCGUCAGGGAGGGGGCGGGCGGAGGGGCGCCGGCCGCCUGAGGGGCUGCAGACCCCGGCUCCCGCUAGCGCCGCAGCUGGCUUGGCUCUUCCAUGUGGCUCCAGCGGGGAUGGAGGACUCGGUGGCGGCGGCGGCGGCUGCUGCUGCGGCGGCGACGGAGGAGCGACUCUGAGGAGGGAACGGGGCCAGACCCAGCCCGACAGCGGGAAUAGAGGUGUGAGGAGGGGGCGGGAGUGGGCGAGCGGCGGGGCCGGGACUCGGGUACCGGGCUGGGGUCUCUGGCAACGCUUGGGUGACAGGGACCGCAGUGGGCCACCGCCUGUCUUUGCUGGGGGUCAGGGGUCUGGACAGGAGACAAGCCUCUGGCAGGCUGGUUCCCAGAGGAUGGGGGAGGGCGGCACCGCACCCCGCACAGUCCACUUGCCCGCACUGGUCACUGCUUCACGCCCAGGCAGGAGUUUCCAUUUCCCUCCAGUUGGCAGCGAAGGUGAAGGGAGCCCAAGUGGCCUGGAGCCCGGAUAUUGCCUCCCUAUGCCUUGAGCUUUCCCUCCACUACUCGUUGCCCACCCAUUUGCCCCUCCGAACAACAGCAUUCCUCCCUGCUCCCUAGAGUGUUCUAAGCAUGUAUUCUAGAACUCGAGGCUAUUAUUGAAAAACAAAGUUUAUUUAAAAAUACUCUACUCUUCUCUCUGAGUGGCCAUGGAUAUUAAACCGCGUCCCUAGACUUUCCCGCUUUGCUCGCCCUUGUUUGAUGAUAGGAGGGAAGGUAGGGCCCGUGAUUGUUGUUGAUGCUGAUUACCUGAUAUAUUGCUCCAUGUCUUUGGUGUGAAUUGUAAUUUCUUUCUUGUUAUCUUAAAUUCUUGAUGUUACUGGCUUUUGAGGUUGGUGUUUUGUUUCAUUGUUUAAAAAAACAUACAGAGAACCUGGGUUGUCUGUUGCAGCAUUAUCCAACAUGGGUGGUUAGUCACUUUUUGUGCUACUCUCCUCAUAUUCUUUCUCUUUUUGUCUUUGUUUUGCUUUUCAGCCCUCCAGAAUAGGAGUCUUAUAGCCCCUGAGGUGGAAUGGUGAUGGCUGCUUGAGGGAAUCUCCUCUCAUUCAUCCUGUCAUGUAUAUCAUGCUGUUGGUGAUUGGGCCAUUCAUCUAAGAUGGGAUUUACCCUGUGAAACAGGGAGAAGACUUAUGGACCCCAAACAUUUCAAGUUGUAAUUGAGUUUUUCAAAGUACAGACACACAUGCAAAGCUCUUUUGCUUUGGACCCUCUGCUUUAUUGAAGCUGCUGUGUUGCUAACCCAGAACUGUUCCAGUCUAUUGACCCAUCAUCAUGGCUUCAGUUUGGAAGAGACUGCAGCGUGUUGGAAAACAUGCAUCCAAGUUCCAGUUUGUGGCCUCCUACCAGGAGCUGAUGGUUGAGUGUACAAAGAAAUGGUAAGAUGUGCUUGGGGUUAGAAUUUGCUGAGCUGUGGCCUA